GUAGGUGGCAAGCGUUGUUCGGAAUUAUUGGGGCGUAAAGCGCGCGCAGGCGGUUCUUUAAGUCUGAUGUGAAAGCCCACGGGCUCAACCGUGGAGGGUCAUUGGAAACUGGAGAACUUGAGUACAGAAGAGGAAAGCGGAAUUCCACGUGUAGCGGUGAAAUGCGUAGAGAUGUGGAGGAACACCAGUGGCGAAGGCGGCUUUCUGGUCUGCAACUGACGCUGAGGCGCGAAAGCGUGGGGAGCAAACAGGAUUAGAUACCCUGGUAGUCCACGCCGUAAACGAUGAGUGCUAAGUGUUAGGGGGUUUCCGCCCCUUAGUGCUGCAGCUAACGCAUUAAGCACUCCGCCUGGGGAGUACGGCCGCAAAGGCUG
rnacentral:rRNA from 1 species